GAGCUAGUGAAGACGCAGCUUCUUUGGUUUGUCUGACAGUUACAAACAUACUGCGGGAAAAAAAAAAAAACGGAUUCAACUACAGUCUUUGUGCGUCACUGGAAUUGAGGGCAGCUCGUGACAGCGCGGUUUGGCCAACCGUUAACUGCGUGCCGCCAUCACCUUGUUCUGGAAGGCAGUUUGUGACAGCGCGGGUUGGCUAACAACCGUUAGCUACGUGCCCUCAUCACCUUGUUCUGGCCGGGUCUUUUAUGCGGGAGUCGCCUUUCAUUGAGGACAUCGUGGGAGAUCGCUUGUGAAG